rnacentral:rRNA from 1 species
UCGAACGCGAAAGCUCCCUUCGGGGGGCAAGUAGAGUGGCGCACGGGUGAGUAACACGUAGGUAAUCUACCUUUGGAUGGGGAAUAACCCCGAGAAAUCGGGGCUAAUACCGCAUAAUGCAGCGGCACCUAAUGGUGACAGUUGUUAAAGCGGGGGAUCGAAAGACCUCGCGUCUAAAGAGGAGCCUGCGGCGGAUUAGCUAGUUGGUAAGGUAACGGCUUACCAAGGCAGUGAUCCGUAGCCGGCCUGAGAGGGCGGUCGGCCACACUGACACUGACAUACGGGUCAGACUCCUACGGGAGGCAGCAGUCGGGAAUUUUGGGCAAUGGGCGAAAGCCUGACCCAGCAACGCCGCGUGAAGGAUGAAAUCCCUCGGGAUGUAAACUUCGCAAGAACGGGAAGAAUAAGUAAGGGUUAAUAUCUCUUACGAUGACGGUACCGUUUGUAAGCUCCGGCUAACUCCGUGCCAGCAGCCGCGGUAAUACGGGGGGAGCAAGCGUUGUUCGGAUUUACUGGGCGUAAAGGGCGCGUAGGCGGCCACCGCAAGUCGGUUGUGAAAUCUCCGGGCUUAACCCGGAAAGGUCAACCGAUACUGCGGGGCUAGAGUGCANAAGGGGCAACUGGAAUUCUCGGUGUAGCGGUGAAAUGCGUAGAUAUCGAGAGGAACACCU